CCUACGGGGGGCAGCAGUGGGGAAUAUUGGGCAAUGGGCGCAAGCCUGACCCAGCACCGCCGCGUGAAGGAAGCAGGCUUUCGGGUUGUAACCUUCUUUUUAGAGGGAAGAGCAGAAGACGGUACCUCUUUAUUAAGCCCCGGCUAACUACGUGCCAGCAGCCGCGGUAAUACGUAGGUGGCAAGCGUUUUACGGAUUUACUGGGUGUAAAGGGCGUGCAGCCGGGAAGACAAGUCAGAUGUGAAAUCCCGCGGCUCAAUCGUGGAACUGCAUGUGAAACUGGUUUUCUUGAGUACCGGAGAGGUCAUCGGAAUUCGUGGUGUAGCGGUGAAAUGCGUAGAUAUAAGGAAGAACACCGGUGGCGAAGGCGGAUGACGAGACGGCAACUGACGGUGAGGCGCGAAAGCGUGGGGAGCAAACAGGAGUAGAUACCCUUGUAGUC
rnacentral:rRNA from 1 species